rnacentral:rRNA from 1 species
UACGUAGGGUGCAAGCGUUGUCCGGAAUUAUUGGGCGUAAAGAGCUCGUAGGCGGCUUGUCGCGUCGUCCGUGAAAACCUGCAGCUCAACUGCAGGCUUGCGGUCGAUACGGGCAGGCUAGAGUUCGGUAGGGGAGACUGGAAUUCCUGGUGUAGCGGUGAAAUGCGCAGAUAUCCGGAGGAAUACCAAAGGCGAAGGCAGUGUCCUGGCUGGCAUCUGACGCUGAGGCGCGAAAGCUAGGGGGAGCGAACAGGA